CAGCUUAGAAGUUAGAACUAGAAGGUGUUAGAAUAUUCUCUAAUGCUCUUAUUUAUUAAACUUGACAUCAACUUCUGUCUUUUCUUCCUCCUUCUUAGUUAUAACGCCUCUAUGAUCAUCAUUCCUCUCAUUGCACCAUAAAGCAAAGAACACAAAGAGAGAGAGGUCUUCUCAAACCAUCUUGCAGAAUGCAGCUCUUCAACAAGGUAUCCAAAGGAAAGCUCAAGCAGGAUGAUGCUAGGAGAUAUUUUCAGCAAUUGAUCAGCGCUGUUGACUACUAAUCUGAUAAACAGAAGGGGUUAUGAUGGAGCCAAAGCUGAUAUAUGGUCAUGUGGGGUGAUCUUGUAUGUUCUAUUGGCAGGGGAGAGUUCAAAUUUCCUAACUGGAUUGCACAAAGACAAGGAUAUCAAUGGAUGCAUUAUUUGUGAAAAAAUUAUUUUAGUAUGUGUAAAAAUCUCAUAUCACUUUAAACUUUAAAGUUAAGACCAAGAGAAAUAUAUAAAUAUUUGAUUUCUCAACCUACCAAA